UGAUCAAUAUUCAAAAGCAACUGCUUCAAAUCAUCUGCCAUUAGAACAAAUGCUUCAACAUUUGUAAGAGCUUGAAUUGUUUUAGUUGAUAGAGGGAGGUUGGAUGAGUCGCGGUCAGCCUUCGCCCAAGCAAUGAGUUCUUCUCCAGCAGAGUCACCAUCUUCCAGAUGGUUGUUCAGGUUACCAGAAUUGCUUGAGGAUCCAGCUAUGCUCCUGGAAGUGUAGGUCCAUAACUUGCCUUGCAGCACGAAGAGCAUUUGAUCAAUUGGGUUUCCCUCCUGGAGAAUGUAAGAGCGCGCUGUGAAGACAACUGGCUUCACAACAUCACACAGUUUCUUCAACGAUGAAACAUCCUGCUUUCCAAACUCUUCUGCCUAAACAAACAUACAUCCAAUAUCAUUACUAUAAUCUAGAAGGCUCGAUGCUGAUAAUGAAAUUCAGCUUCUGAAUGAAGAGAAUAAAAAUUGAUCUAGAACUAUCUCAGCUAAAAUGAGAUUCAUUCCCCAUCACUAAACACAUGUCAGGCUUGAGUUUCCAUUGAGGUGAUGUGAACCUUAGCUAUUGCGCUUUCAAAACCAUGCAGAAGUUCAAAUAGUUACAAACAUUUACCCUUGAGUUUAUUCGAUUGAGUUAAAGAAUAGGAAAAUAUUUUCAUUAGUUUUUCGGAUUGCUGUUUAUAUGUUGCCAGCCUCUUCUUUGUCAGUUCCACAAAUUCAGAAGUAGGAGGGACAAAUAUAGUUGUAAAGAUUUCUUACUCACAUUUUUUAGCAGGUCUAAGCAGAGGUUUUGUUUUAUGCUCUUCUGCUGUACCGUACAUCCGCCUUGGCCGUACAGCAGACCAAAAAUUUAUUACCAAUAAUUAAAAAGAAAAAAGAGAAAAAGAAAGUGUAGUAUUUGCCCCUUAAAUGACUUGGUCGCACACGUCUUUGAAAAUCGGCUCGAACAACAUAGAGGAAUCUAGAACAAACAUAUUUACCAUGAAAUGAUAGACGGUGGGCAUAUAUGUCAUUUCACAAAGAAAAUGAGAAUAAAACUCAAAACAAUUAGAAUUUAAAAAAAAAAUAAAGGAAAUUAAAGCGCCUCUAUUCCAGUGAUGGUAAUUGAAAUCACAAAGAAGUUUUCCAAGACAUUAGUACUGAAUGGGAGACCUUGACCAAAAGAACUGCAAAAGUCAAACCCACAAAUUUAUUAGAAAUUUAGAACCAAUGUUUUUGAGUUUAAUUGCUAAAAAAACAUAAAAAUACGUAUGCGUAAUUUUAUGCCCAAAAAACAUAGAAAGGCAUAUGCACAAAGAUUGUUACAAGGAGAAUGAUGUAUAUCCACAACUUAACCUGAGAUUUUGCAGGCUCCAUCGAAUACAAAGCAAGAACCUCAGAGAUAAACUGUUUUGCUCCAUAACACCAGAAUUAAUAGCAUCAACGUAUAUCCCAAAAUCAUAGAUAGUUGCAUUUUGAGUCUUUGUAGAGCAAAAAUCAUUAGAAAAUGUGUAGUUUGUUAAACUGUUGUCACAGUGCAAAGGAAGGAGACGGCAUUUGGUAGAAUCUGUGCAGGCUUUCCUCCAACAUUCGGUCUCUGGCCCAUUUAGUAUGCUUAUAUGAAUUCUUCCUUUUUUUAAUCAAUGCAUACAAUCGCUUAACCUUUAGCAAAUGUUGGACGAUAAACAGGUUCAUCACAUGGAAAAAUUGCUGGACAUUCAUUAGUCGAUUAUAAACUAGAAGCACCAACACCUGAACAGUUUGUACACCAUAAAGAUAGAAUUAUCAAUUAUGAAAUAUGAUUCCAUAUGAAAAGGAAAAAAAAAAAUGGAAAUUAAUCGUACAAAUUACAACCUAUGCGUGCUUGCUAGGAAUCCAACAUAAAUUACUUUUGGGCGCCCAUAGGUAUGCGCGUGUGCCCUUGCUUGGCUAGUUGGAACAAAUAAGUAAAAAGUACGACAGAACAAACAUUUACCUGUGGGAGUGGAAAAAUGAAGGCGAGAUCAAAUAGGAAGACGGCCAACCGAGAUUUGCUAAAAUUUCGAUGUACAUUCUCCCCUAUUCGUAAAGCUUUUUUCAUCAAAAACAAUAUAUCAUAUGCUGUACGUUCAACAAUAACCAAAAUCAUAAGGGCUAUGUCAAAUUGGAAGCACUUUUUGCCAUCGUUGAUCACGGGAAGGUACAAGAAAACAGGAUCAAAUAUUAUGGAAUACACAUAAAUCAGCCAAAAAUUAGCAUCCGGGUAACGUCUCGUAGCAUCCAGGAAACGUCUCGGCAGAUUACGAAUCUGCCGAAGAGAUGUUUUUUCUCCAUUACCCAAGCUUUCGAUCACAGUUCGAAAAGCAGAUACUGUUGCUUCUCUCUCGCUCCUACUGAUGCUGUCCAUUUCAACACCAGCAACCAGUCUCGGCGUUCCUUCCUCUAAAUUCGAGUGCUGAGACCUGAAAAAAUAAAAUCAACUUCAUCGUCAUCACCAUAUACAAUAAUUGUAAUAACAUAUGGCCUGUACCUCAGCUCAGUAAGGCUCUAUACGUAUAUCGUCAAAUUAAUAAACAACUCGCUUAAGGCUUACAUAAUCAACCAAGGGGAAGGAAAAUUUAAGUAAAUGAAGCGAAGCUUAAUUUCAGUUUCCUUCAAUUAAAUACAGGUGGAUCCUUCACAAAUCAUCACUUCAGUGGCUGAGUCUUCGGAGUUCAGAGCAUGCUUAUCCUAUGCGCUAAUAAAUAUCUACGCACUGUGGUUCCUCAAGACAUUGACUUCUUACACAAUCAAUCAAACAACCAAAAAAAAAAAAAAUUCAAUAAUUAUGUAAUUUCUGUAGCACCUGUUGAUUGAGCUGGGGCCGGAGGCAACUAAUAGCUACGACUUGAGGUUAGAACUUAUCCAUAUGCAUAAUCUCAAUCUACGGUUCAUUAACCAAAAUUUUGGCCCCAAGAGGCUGCAACUCUAUCACGUCCCUUUGUGCUUUUUGCUCACUAGUAGAAUUGGAUCUUUGUGCUUUUUGCUCAAGAUAAAUAUAAGCCUUAGAAAUAUGAACUUGUUAAGGAUCCAAAUCCAAACUUGUGAACAAUGUCACGAUGCCUAUUACAAAUUUGAGCAAUGGUAGGAACAGUUGGGGCCUGUGUCCCAGGUGGUUUUAGAAACUUUUUGAUGACCACUGACCUUUCUUCCUUAGAAUUUAUAAAAAUAUCCCAUUUGAGUGUUAAAAUUAUGAAAAGUUCAGUGCUCAUCUCUAGUUCACAAAUUGAACUUACUUUCUGCUAGUUCAAACACUGAAAUUUUGUGUAAAAAAUAAAUCAAGGGUCAUAUAUUGUUAUUUAAAUUUUUUUUGAAAUUGUAUUAUACUAAUAAAGGUUUUAAAUGGAGAUAAGAAAUCUCAUUUGUUAAAGACUAAUCCUUAAAUUUAAUUUCAAACACUAUAUAUAAUCAAACACUAUAAAGGAGUUUUGCUAACUUCAUAUAUAUACACAUCAACUGUAUCAGGCUUCGGUUUCUAAUAUCUCAAACUCAAAUACUUUCGUCCAAAUUUAUUAUUGAGAUAGGUCCUUAAUUAAGAUCAUGAACAAGGCCUAAAAUACUAACGUUGCUGUACCAGAUCUGAACGCCCAAAUAUUAUUGUAGAUGGCGAUGGUGGCGUUCCUUGUGCGGACGCUUGUGCACUCCAUCUAGUUUGUCAGAAUACAUGUAUACAUCCAGUGCAAUGUUUUGCUUAAUGAUCAAUAUUCAAUAGUACCUGCUUUAAAUCAUCUGCCAUAAGAACAAAUGCUUCAACAUUUGUAAGAGCUUGAAUUGUUUUAGUUGAUAUAGGGAGGUUGGAUGAGUCGCGGUCAGCCUUUGCCCAAGCAAUGAGUUCUUCUCCAGAAAAGUCACCAUCUUCCAGAUGGUUGUUCAGGUUACCAGAAUUGCUUGAGAAUCCAGUUAUGCUCCUGGAAGUGUAGGUCCAUAACUUGCCUUGCAGCACGAAGAGCAUUUGAUCAAUUGGGUUUCCCUCCCGGAGAACGUAAGAGCGCUCUGUGAAGACGACUGGCUUCACAACAUCACACAGUGUCUCCAACGAUGAAUGACUCCAGUUUCCAAACUCUUCUACCU
rnacentral:lncRNA from 1 species